rnacentral:lncRNA from 1 species
UGUUCCAAGUGAGUUUAUCAGUGGGCUGCACACCCAGCAUGUGGCCUCUUUGUCAUUAUUAAGAAAAGUGUGAAGCUAUGCAUUCCGUCAAAAGCAACCAGCCAAGAGCCAGAUGCAAAAGAAAAGUGGCCCUCCCCCACCCAGCAGUCAUCAUCUGCUAAUAGCAUCUCAGCUAGGAGAAGGGCCUCUACCCCUCCUCUCUCUAUGCUGGAAUUUCACCCAGGUCAUAUGCAGGUAACCACAGCUGCUGUGAACCAUGCUUGGAAUUUCCAACAGAUAAUGUUUCUAAGCCCCUCUUCCCACUCUUCAGCUUUUAUAUUCUUCCUCUUCCAGGAUCUUCUCUGAGCACUGGGAGUGGGGAGAUUGCCAUUUUGCUAAUAAUAAAU